UACAGAGGUCUCAAGCGUUUGUUCGGAUUCAUUGGGGCGUAAAGGGCGCGUAGGCGGCGAGGUAAGUCGGGUGGUGAAAUCUCAGAGCUCAAACUCUGAAACUGCACUCGAUACUGCUUUGCUAGAGGACUGGAGAGGAGAUUGGAAUUCACGGUGUAGCAGUGAAAUGCGUAGAGAUCGUGAGGAAGACCAGUGGCGAAGGCGGAUCUCUGGACAGUUCCGUGACGCUGGAGGCGCGAAGGCCAGGGGAGCAAACGGG
rnacentral:rRNA from 1 species